UGAAACCGUGUGCUUACAAGUAGUCAGAGCCCGUUAAUGGGUGAUGGCGUGCCUUUUGUAGAAUGAACCGGCGAGUUACGAUUUGAUGCAAGGUUAAGCAGUAAAUGUGGAGCCGUAGCGAAAGCGAGUCUGAAUAGGGCGUUUAGUAUUUGGUCGUAGACCCGAAACCAGGUGAUCUACCCUUGGUCAGGUUGAAGUUCAGGUAACACUGAAUGGAGGACCGAACCGACUUACGUUGAAAAGUGAGCGGAUGAACUGAGGGUAGCGGAGAAAUUCCAAUCGAACCUGGAGAUAGCUGGUUCUCUCCGAAAUAGCUUUAGGGCUAGCCUCAAGUGAUGAUUAUUGGAGGUAGAGCACUGUUUGGACGAGGGGCCCCUCUCGGGUUACCGAAUUCAGACAAACUCCGAAUGCCAAUUAAUUUAACUUGGGAGUCAGAACAUGGGUGAUAAGGUCCGUGUUCGAAAGGGAAACAGCCCAGACCACCAGCUAAGGUCCCAAAAUAUAUGUUAAGUGGAAAAGGAUGUGGCGUUGCCCAGACAACUAGGAUGUUGGCUUAGAAGCAGCCAUCAUUUAAAGAGUGCGUAAUAGCUCACUAGUCGAGUGACACUGCGCCGAAAAUGUACCGGGGCUAAACAUAUUACCGAAGCUGUGGAUUGUCCUUUGGACAAUGGUAGGAGAGCGUUCUAAGGGCGUUGAAGCAUGAUCGUAAGGACAUGUGGAGCGCUUAGAAGUGAGAAUGCCGGUGUGAGUAGCGAAAGACGGGUGAGAAUCCCGUCCACCGAUUGACUAAGGUUUCCAGAGGAAGGCUCGUCCGCUCUGGGUUAGUCGGGUCCUAAGCUGAGGCCGACAGGCGUAGGCGAUGGAUAACAGGUUGAUAUUCCUGUACCACCUAUAAUCGUUUUAAUCGAUGGGGGGACGCAGUAGGAUAGGCGAAGCGUGCGAUUGGAUUGCACGUCUAAGCAGUAAGGCUGAGUAUUAGGCAAAUCCGGUACUCGUUAAGGCUGAGCUGUGAUGGGGAGAAGACAUUGUGUCUUCGAGUCGUUGAUUUCACACUGCCGAGAAAAGCCUCUAGAUAGAAAAUAGGUGCCCGUACCGCAAACCGACACAGGUAGUCAAGAUGAGAAUUCUAAGGUGAGCGAGCGAACUCUCGUUAAGGAACUCGGCAAAAUGACCCCGUAACUUCGGGAGAAGGGGUGCUCUUUAGGGUUAACGCCCAGAAGAGCCGCAGUGAAUAGGCCCAAGCGACUGUUUAUCAAAAACACAGGUCUCUGCUAAACCGUAAGGUGAUGUAUAGGGGCUGACGCCUGCCCGGUGCUGGAAGGUUAAGAGGAGUGGUUAGCUUCUGCGAAGCUACGAAUCGAAGCCCCAGUAAACGGCGGCCGUAACUAUAACGGUCCUAAGGUAGCGAAAUUCCUUGUCGGGUAAGUUCCGACCCGCACGAAAGGCGUAACGAUUUGGGCACUGUCUCAACGAGAGACUCGGUGAAAUCAUAGUACCUGUGAAGAUGCAGGUUACCCGCGACAGGACGGAAAGACCCCGUGGAGCUUUACUGUAGCCUGAUAUUGAAAUUCGGCACAGCUUGUACAGGAUAGGUAGGAGCCUUUGAAACGUGAGCGCUAGCUUACGUGGAGGCGCUGGUGGGAUACUACCCUAGCUGUGUUGGCUUUCUAACCCGCACUACUUAUCGUGGUGGGAGACAGUGUCAGGCGGUCAGUUUGACUGGGGCGGUCGCCUCCUAAAAGGUAACGGAGGCGCUCAAAGGUUCCCUCAGAAUGGUUGGAAAUCAUUCAUAGAGUGUAAAGGCAUAAGGGAGCUUGACUGCGAGACCUACAAGUCGAGCAGGGUCGA
rnacentral:rRNA from 1 species